GUUAUCAUCAUGAACAAGUCAGUGAUUUUUCUUUUAUGCCUGGUGCUACUUGGAAUAACACUGAACGCCGACGCAGGUUCAUACAAGCGCUGCAGUCUCAUUAGGUGUGAUCGCUGGUAUUGCUAUUACAGGUGUCGAUGGUUAUGUCGUGGUAUUUGUGGAUAUGAAGGAGGAAAGAAAGACGAUGAAGAAGUGAAGUUCCCAAAGGGAGAAAAGCCGGAUGAAUUUGAUCUGGAUGAGUAGAAGGCUAUAUACAGAAGGUUGUCUUUAUUCCUUAUUGGAGAGACAAGCCAUUUAUUUCUUUUGGUUUUGGUUAAUGAGGAAUUUUUAUUAAGUGAGUCUGUCUCGAUGAUACCAGUUGUACUGGCUAAUAUAUUCAAUAAAAAUAUGUUAUUUCUCUGAA